UGCCGUAUUUAACUUCGUUGACAAAGUGCGCUCAUAAGAUAAGGGUGCAUCUGGUUUGACUCUCGACUGCUGUAGUUGGAAGUUUAUUGUUUACCCACCCUUUGAAUUUAACUUCUGAUAAUGACACCGCAAAACAAAUGCAAUGAAUUAGCUUUCUUUCUUCUUUUCAGGAUAUGUUUCAGAAAAGAAGGUUUGGUGAGACCAUGUGAUGAAAUGAACCGAGCGAAGAGAGAUGAGAAGCUCCACCGACUGUCCUCACAUUGUUUUGAUAAGGUCUGAGACAGCAGCGCAGGAGAUUGCCUUUUGACCACAGACGACUGAGACAACAGGUUUCAUAUUCUUCAUUUGCAACCACGAAGGAUCAUGCAAAUGGAUGUUGCAUCUAACAUCACCUCCACAGAUGGUUUCCAGAAAUGUAUGUUGUAUGUGAAAGAGAGAGAGAGGUUUUGGUACUCAGUAGGAUGGCGGAUGACGCGAACUCGUUGAGGUCCACGCACCGAACACCUCGUGCGGCAUCUGCCCAUUGGGAAGCAGGCUCG